UACGUAGGGGGGCAAGCGUUGUCCGGAAUCAUUGGGCGUAAAGCGCGCGUAGGCGGCCCGGUAAGUCCGCUGUAAAAGUCCAGGGCUCAACCCUGGAAAGCCGGUGGAUACUGUCGGGCUAGAGUCCGGAAGAGGCGAGUGGAAUUCCUGGUGUAGCGGUGGAAUGCGCAGAUAUCAGGAGGAACACCGAUGGCGAAGGCAGCUCGCUGGGACGGUACUGACGCUAAGGCGCGAAAGCAUGGGGAGCGAACAGG
rnacentral:rRNA from 1 species